AAACGUAGGAGGCGAGCGUUAUCCGGAUUUAUUGGGCGUAAAGCGCAUGCAGGUGGUUUCGUUAGUCGGACGUGAAAGCCUCUGGCUUAACUGGAGGAGGUCGUUCGAUACUGCGGAACUUGAGGUCGGAAGAGGGAAGUGGAAUUCCCGGUGUAGUGGUGGAAUGCGUAGAUAUCGGGAGGAACACCAGUGGCGAAGGCGACUUCCUGGUCCGCACCUGACACUAAGAUGCGAAAGCGUGGGGAGCGAACGGGAUUAGAUACCCCGGUAGUCCACGCUGUAAACGUUGGGUACUGGGUAUUGGUGGUAUUGACCCCAUCGGUGCCGAAGCUAACGCGUUAAGUACCCCGCCUGGGGACUACGGCCGCAAGGUUAAA
rnacentral:rRNA from 1 species